rnacentral:misc_RNA from 1 species
CAACUUGUUCUUUCCAACAACGCCGAGAUGACGAUACACAAAAAGUUAUCUUCACAACCAAGCAAAAACGGUUAACGUAAGUUUGUUCACAGAGAGCUGUAUUCCAGCAAACACUUCCAAAACAAACAUGUUUUCCAAGAGCAUCUUAAUUAAGUUCAGAACUGUACAUAAUUUCACCAACAAAGAUGCAGCUCAACAUCAUAGGUUUCACAUUGAUAGCUAAAAGCUUCUACACAGAGUCUCUGCUCUGCUUCAUAAGGACUCAAGAGCAACAUCUGGAGUCACUUCACCAUCUUCCUCAGAAGAAGAAAGAGCUUCUGAUCAAGCUUAAACUUCUGUGUCUUGAGGGCAUCACUUUUCAGCAUCAGCUGGAGUCCUCCGAAGGAGACAUAAACCACCACUUUUUUGUCAGCUCCUGAUCCCUCCAUUGAAACCUUAUAUACCAGCCCAUGCACGAUGUAUUCAAAUUUAUCAAGAAGAGAUUUUCCCUCAGGAGGAUAGCUAGUGACAGCCGACCCUUCCAUUAGUGUCGUUGAUAUAACCAUCCUGUACAACUCUUUUCGCUUCAUGGGAUAUAGUUCUGAGUUGAUAUCUAGCUGGAUUGAUGUCGCACCAUCACUACUUUCUGC